rnacentral:rRNA from 1 species
UCGGGAAUUUUGGGCAAUGGGCGAAAGCCUGACCCAGCAACGCCGCGUGAAGGAUGAAGUAUUUCGGUAUGUAAACUUCGUAAGAAUAGGAAGAAUAAAUGACGGUACUAUUUGUAAGGUCCGGCUAACUACGUGCCAGCAGCCGCGGUAAUACGUAGGGACCAAGCGUUGUUCGGAUUUACUGGGCGUAAAGGGCGCGUAGGCGGCGUGGUAAGUCAUCUGUGAAAUCUCCGAGCUUAACUCGGAACGGUCAGAUGAUACUGCUGUGCUAGAGUACAGAAAGGGCAAUCGGAAUUCUUGGUGUAGCGGUGAAAUGCGUAGAUAUCAAGAGGAACACCUGAGGUGAAGACGGGUUGCUGGGCUGACACUGACGCUGAGGCGCGAAAGCCAGGGGAGCAAACGGGAUUAGAUACCCCCGUAGUCCCUGAGCGGGCUGGCAAGGCGCAU